rnacentral:rRNA from 1 species
GGCCAGCAUCAGUUUUCUGGGGCGGAAAAUCACGGUUAGAAGGUAGCAGUUUCGGCUGUGUUAUAGCUUUCCGUUGGAUACGUCCUNGGGGACUGAGGAACGCAGUGUNCUUUUAGCGAGCUUCGGCCNNNUCACACUUAGGAUGCUNGUAGAAU